GACGAACGCUGGCGGCGUGCCUAACACAUGCAAGUCGAACGGAACUGUUUUGACAGAUUUCUUCGGAAUGAAUUUGAUUUCGUUUAGUGGCGGACGGGUGAGUAACGCGUGAGUAACCUGCCUUCAAGAGGGGAAUAACAUUCUGAAAAGAAUGCUAAUACCGCAUGACAUAUCGGAACCACAUGGUUUUGAUAUCAAAGAUUUUAUCGCUUGAAGAUGGACUCGCGUCCGAUUAGUUAGUUGGUGAUGUAACGGCUCACCAAGACCGCGAUCGGUAGCCGUACUGAGAGGUUGAACGGCAACAUUGGGACGGAGACACGGCCCAGACUCCUACGGGAGGGAGCAGUGGGGGAUAUUGCGCAAUGGGGGCAACCCUGACGCAGCAACGCCGCGUGAAGGAUGAAGGUUGUCGGAUUGUAAACUUCUUUUAUUAAGGACGAAAAAUGACGGUACUUAAUGAAUAAGCACCGGCUAACUACGUG
rnacentral:rRNA from 1 species